UGUGUAGUUAAAAAAACGUAACAAGGUCCCCGUUCGUAAACCGGCGGAGGGAUCAUUACCGAGUUUACAACUCCCAAACCCAAUGUGAACGUUACCAAACUGUUGCCUCGGCGGGGUCACGCCCCGGGUGCGUCGCAGCCCCGGAACCAGGCGCCCGCCGGAGGAACCAACCAAACUCUUUCUGUAGUCCCCUCGCGGACGUAUUUCUUACAGCUCUGAGCAAAAAUUCAAAAUGAAUCAAAACUUUCAACAACGGAUCUCUUGGUUCUGGCAUCGAUGAAGAACGCAGCGAAAUGCGAUAAGUAAUGUGAAUUGCAGAAUUCAGUGAAUCAUCGAAUCUUUGAACGCACAUUGCGCCCGCCAGUAUUCUGGCGGGCAUGCCUGUCCGAGCGUCAUUUCAACCCUCGAACCCCUCCGGGGGAUCGGCGUUGGGGAUCGGGACCCCUCACACGGGUGCCGGCCCCUAAAUACAGUGGCGGUCUCGCCGCAGCCUCUCCUGCGCAGUAGUUUGCACAACUCGCACCGGGAGCGCGGCGCGUCCACGUCCGUAAAACACCCAACUUUCUGAAAUGUUGACCUCGGAUCAGGUAGGAAUACCCGCUGAACUUAAGCAUAUCAAAGCGGGGGAGGAA
rnacentral:rRNA from 1 species